AGCUGCUAAUAUUGGAGAAGAAUUACUACGCUCACUCUCUCGGGAUGACAUCAAAGAUCUCUUUCCUGGUCCAGAAAAUUUUCUCAGAAGAAGGGCACUGUGGCUUAGUGUGAAUAAUGAUGAAAAGGUGGAUUCUGUUGCCAGUUCUGCGAAGCCAUCAAAAUCUUCUGACAAUAAAGCUGAUGUCCCUCCAGAGGAGAAACCCAACACCUCUAAAUUUUUGUUGAUGACCAGUCCUGAGUACAUACUCUACACAGAUGGUGAACUUGAGCUGGCACGUUCAUCCUACUUCGACCAAAAGCGUAUUACCCACUUACUAAUCCUGGAAUUUGAGGCAAGAAGACGCUUCAUCACAUGUGGAGUUCUGAAGGAGUCGGGGAAAUCAACCAAAAUUCUUGAGGCCUAUCCAUGUUUCAAAGAAUUAGAUCAUGUUUUGGAUGAAAUGCAAAGGAUUGUCCAACCCAAAAACUCCAACUACAUCGCAGAGCUAAGAGAGAGAUGGGGAGAUUUCUUCUCGAGGGUGAAGUUUUAUGGAGUGAUGAAGAAGGCAAUGAAGCUUCCAAAGACACUCGACAGUGUGGACCAUGCCUUAGCAGUGUUUGCUGCUCUUCCAUCCCUGUUUCCAUCCGGUCUGCCUCCACCAAAGAAGCUGGGCUCAUGUGGCGAAGCCUUCUUCCACGUACUUAAUCCUGCAGAGGACCCCGAGGGAUACCUACAGCAGCGACCCCUGAUGUGUCCAGUACUGCUCAUUUCCAAGGAGAAUUGCAUGAUUGCAAUUGACAACACACCAGUGACCACCUUUCCCAAGCCCAAGCUGGAUGAAGGACUUCUCUACCUAAUGGCAUACUACUAUGCCAUGCACCUCACAUACCCCAAGUGUAUUUCCACUCUGCUCUCAGUGCUGCAAACCGAGAUUAUUCUGGACUCUAUCCAUGACCAAGAUGCCACCUCUUCAUACAAGAAAGCCCUUGCUGAGUGGAGGUCCUUCACUGAGUGAGUUUAUCUGUAACCAUUACUUUCUCAGAUUGUGUGGAGUGUUAAUUCAAGGUCCAGAAUUAUUGUUAAAGUUGCAACAUGUAUGCUAUAGGGCUGGACAAGUAAUCAAAAUUACAACCUUAAGUUGGUCUCAGUCAGUACUUUUGUAAAAUUUUAGACAUAGUAUUUUUUUUAUUAUUAUUAUUAUUAUUAUUAUUAUUAUUAUUUAUUUUUGUAUUCCUGGUUUACCUCUGCUUUUAUAUUUAUAGUUUAUACAUUUUUUUAUAUUUUGUUCUAAUUUAGCCCUGAAUAAUUCUUGUUACUAUAUUGCAAGACUAUCUUAUCUUUGUUGAUGUUAAGUUAAAUCAAGUAAAAAAAAAAAAAAAAUCCAAAUCGGUUUUGAAAAGAAAGUGAUUUACUUGACAUAUUGUCCAGCUCUAUUAUGCAGUUAGUUUUACAUUCGGACCAUGUUAAAAGCUGACAUUUUUACCCUCUUCAUUUGAUUUUAGAGGUUUUGUA